GUUUAGCCCUGAUUGUAGCAGUUGUUUGAGCUCUUUUUUAGUUUGGGAUUGAGUGAAUUUUGAAGAAUGAAAAAUUUGUAUCGAGAACAAACUAAAAAAAGCGAGUGCGGAAAGCAGGAAAUAGC
rnacentral:sRNA from 1 species